AUUGAACGCUGGCGGCAGGCUUAACACAUGCAAGUCGAGCGAGCGGCGGACGGGUGAGAAAGGUCGGGGAAACGGCCUGAUGGAGGGGGAUAACUACGGGAAACGGUAGCUAAUACCGCAUACCAUCAGAUGUGCCCAGAUGGGAUUAGCUAGUUGGUGGGGUAAUGGCUCACCUAGGCGACGACGCCUAGCUGGUCCGAGAGGAUGACCAGCAACACUGGAACUGAGACACGGUCCAGACUCCUACGGGAGGCAGCAGUGGGGAAUAUUGGACAAUGGGCGCAAGCCUGAUGCAGCCAUGCCGAGUGUGUGAAGAAGGCCUUCGGGUGGUAAAGCACUUUCAGCGAGGAGGCGUUACUCGCAGAAGAAGCACCGGCUAACUCCGUGCCAGCAGCCGCGGUAAUAC
rnacentral:rRNA from 1 species